rnacentral:lncRNA from 1 species
AUGUACAACACAUCAUCCUGGGAUGGAGGAUCUUUCUGUGAAGCUCACACUGGUUUUAAUUCAGCAUACUGCUGCCACAGGUCCUGGGGCUCAUUUUCUAAUGUCAUGGCUGACUCUAAGAUCUCUUUAACUACAAUCAAAAUCCAACAUCCUGUCAGGUAUUUGGAUGUAGGUUCAUUCUUUGAGAAAGAGGAAGCUGGAGUGAGCUGUCACAAAAGAGAUGCCAUUAAAUGAAAAAUGUCUCAACAUUCAAAAGGGUGACCUCAAAUUUUAUUCUGCAAUUACAUUUGUAAACACACAAAUUUUAAGUAAACUUGAAAAUAUGUGACAGUAUUUCGUUUGUUUUGUUGCCUAGAACUCACCAAUGGGACAAAAAAAAGAAAAACAUUCAGGAAGAUGACACUCCAUUUUAUGCUCAUCACCCCCAAACACCAAAUGCAACUUUCAUGGGAUAAAUGAUGGAUUAUUUUCAAUCCUUCAGCUAUCAAAAGGAACAUGAUCUAAAGCAUCACUUCUACUGGAAUCAUAAAUGACUUGAAAAAUUCAGUCUUUUAUUGGAUGUUGGUCAUUUUCCUCCACAUCUUAAACUAUCUCAAGAAAUCACCAUCUAUCUUCGGAAUUGUCUCUGUUUUGGUAAGUGCUAAUAACUCCUUUGUGACUACACCUGAAGGCAAGUACUAUGGACAGCAGUUAAAUAGGAAUAGAGUUCAAAUAGAAGCUGCUUUUCCUCUAAAACACUCCUUAAAAUGAAAUGAAUAUUUAAAUUGAGAAUGUCAUGUGAGUAUUCCCCUUACAUAUUUUUCUUAUUGAUUUCAAUAACUCCUGUAUAAUACUUAAAACCGUUUUUUACACUUGUUUCUACAAUAACCAAUAUCCUCUUGCUAGAAUGACAGCAUUGUUUUCUAAAGAGAAUAGCUAUUUCUAGUGGACACGCAAACCGUAUUUAAUUCUACGUCUAUUUCCUAAAAAAGCCUAUUUUAUUUGCUAACAUGGUACACUGCCCAAGCUAUACAUAGCUAGCCUAAUCUAUGUUCAAAAACUCGUUCUACAGUCCAUCACUGACUGACUAUUGCUGACUUAAAGAAAAGCAAUGGGUUUCACUUGUGUCGGUGGAACAGUGCUUUUUCAUGGGGCAAACUAAACCACAUUCCUUGAAAGAACAGUGAUGGCCCACUUGUACAUUCUCCUGUAACUACUGCUUUAUGAGGAAAUAGUCUGAGAUGUAUAGAGAUGG